rnacentral:lncRNA from 1 species
CAUCAUAUUAUGAUGUUCCCCAAGUUUUGGACUCAAUCUGAUAUCGGUUGUUCCAUGAAAUUGGACAAUUUAGGUUCAUACGAAGUUCGUUAUGAAAUGGAGUGGUUGAUGUAUUGCAUCGUUCUAGAGAUUGGACAUCACUCAAAACACUCCAAAUGUCUCCUCCCACCAUAUUAUGAUGUUACCCAAGUGUUCGACUCAAUCCGAUAUCGAUUGGUCCAUGAAAUUGGACAAUUCAGGUUCCUACGAAGUUCAUUGUGAAAUGGAGUGGUUGGUGUAUU